UUUGGAGUUUGUUAAAUAGAAAUUACAUUACAAUAAUAUGAAAUUCAUACGAUAGAUCGGUCUAGUAUGGAAACAUCCAUCAUGGGUACAACAACGAAUCACGAAACCAUAGCGACAGCAAUAGCAUCACGCAAUGCACCCAUAUCAAUGUCAUCUCCUAAAGCACCACCACCACCAUCUGUGCUAGGUUGGGUUGAAUUACCAUCAUCUUCCUGAAAAUCCUCUUCAAAAUGCACGUCAUGUACGGCACUAUCUCUGAUGAAAUUGUGAAGGGCCAUACAAGCAACUAUAAUUUUCGACUGCUUGUUAACCGG
rnacentral:lncRNA from 1 species